GUGAGAGAGAGAUCCGGCUGAGACCAGCCCACGCUCCUUCGGGCGCCAGAGCGGGCGGUUCCCGGACAAACGCGCAGGCCAGGGGCGGAGCCGCAGUCUCUCAGUAAGAAAAAAGACAACGGGAACGCCUCCAGGAGCAGACCUUAGCGGCUAAGAAGCCCACGUGCCGUG
rnacentral:lncRNA from 1 species